AUUGAACGCUGGCGGCAGGCCUAACACAUGCAAGUCGAACGAGUGGCGGACGGGUGAGAAAUGUAUGGGAAACUGCCUGAUGGAGGGGGAUAACUACUGGAAACGGUAGCUAAUACCGCAUACCAUCAGCUGUGCCCAGAUGGGAUUAGCUUGUUGGUGGGGUAACGGCUCACCAAGGCGACGAUCCCUAGCUGGUCGGAGAGGAUGACCAGCAACACUAGACCUGAGAAACGGUCCAGACUCCUACGUGAGGAAGCAGUGGGGAAUAUUGCACAAGGGGCGCAAGCCGGAUGCAGCCAUGCCGCGUGUAUGAAGAAGGCCUUCGGGUUGUAAAGUACUUUCAGCGGGGAGGCGGUACCCGCAGAAGAAGCACCGGCUAACUCCGUGCCAGCAGCCGCGGUAAUAC
rnacentral:rRNA from 1 species